GACGGUAUGGCAGAGUGGUUAUGCAGCGGCCUGCAAAGCCGCGUACUUCGGUUCAAUUCCGUAUGCCGUCU
rnacentral:tRNA from 1 species